GUGGGGAAUAUUGCGCAAUGGGGGCAACCCUGACGCAGCAACGCCGCGUGAUUGAAGAAGGCCUUCGGGUUGUAAAGAUCUUUAAUUAGGGACGAAAUUUGACGGUACCUAAAGAAUAAGCUCCGGCUAACUACGUGCCAGCAGCCGCGGUAAUACGUAGGGAGCGAGCGUUAUCCGGAUUUACUGGGUGUAAAGGGCGUGUAGGCGGGACUGCAAGUCAGGUGUGAAAUCCGGGGGCUUAACCCCCGAACUGCACUUGAAACUGUAGUUCUUGAGUGAUGGAGAGGCAGGCGGAAUUCCCAGUGUAGCGGUGAAAUGCGUAGAUAUUGGGAGGAACACCAGUGGCGAAGGCGGCCUGCUGGACAUUAACUGACGCUGAGGCGCGAAAGCGUGGGGAGCAAACAGGA
rnacentral:rRNA from 1 species